ensembl:snRNA U6 U6 spliceosomal RNA
GUGCUCACUUCGGCAGCACAUAUGCUAAAAUUGCAACAAUACAGAGAAGAUUUGCAUGGCCCCUGCACAAGGAGGACAUGCAAAUUUUUGAGUUAAAAAACUUUUGU